CCUGCAGCCGGCACUCCCCCGUCUUCCAGAUGACAAUUUGUCGGGCACGAGCGGUAUGGAAGUGGACGACCGCGUGUCGGCGCUGGAGCAGCGGCUGCAGUUACAGGAAGACGAGCUGGCGGUCCUAAAGGCGGCGCUGGCGGAUGCUCUGCGUCGCCUGCGGGCGUGCGAAGAACAGGGAGCAGCGCUACGCGCGCGGGGCACCCCCAAGGGCCGGGCGCCUCCGCGCUUAGGCACCACUGCCUCGGUGUGUCAGCUCUUGAAAGGCCUUCCCACCAGGACGCCCCUUAAUGGCUCGGGACCCCCGCGGCGCGUGGGUGGCUAUGCCACGUCCCCAUCCUCUCCCAAGAAGGAGGCGACCUUCGGGCGCAGUGUCCGCCGCUACUUGUCACCAGAGCGUCUCGCCUUGGUGCGCCGCGAGGACCCCCGCAGCCGGACCACAUCCUCCAGCAGCAACUGUAGCGCCAAAAAGGAAGGCAAAACCAAAGAAGUUAUCUUCAGUGUGGAGGAUGGCUCCGUGAAAAUGUUCCUGAGGGGCCGCCCUGUGCCCAUGAUGAUCCCAGAUGAGCUGGCACCCACCUACAGCCUGGACACACGCUCGGAGCUGCCUUCUUGCCGGCUCAAGCUGGACUGGGUCUAUGGCUACCGUGGCCGAGACUGCCGGGCCAACCUUUAUUUGCUCCCCACCGGGGAGAUAGUGUACUUUGUGGCCUCCGUGGCCGUGCUAUACAGCGUGGAGGAGCAGAGGCAGCGACACUACCUGGGACACAACGAUGACAUCAAAUGCUUGGCCAUCCACCCAGAUAUGGUCACCAUCGCCACGGGACAGGUGGCGGGCACCACUAAGGAAGGGAAGCCGCUGCCGCCCCACGUGCGCAUCUGGGACUCAGUUUCCCUCUCCACCUUACACGUGCUGGGCUUGGGGGUGUUUGACAGAGCCGUGUGCUGUGUGGGCUUCUCCAAAUCU
rnacentral:sRNA from 1 species